GACGAACGCUGGCGGCGCGCCUAAUACAUGCAAGUCGAGCGGGGCUUUUCGCGUGAAGCCUUCGGGCGGAUCGCGGGGAGCCUAGCGGCGAACGGGUGCGUAACACGUGGGCAACCUACCCCGAGGACCGGGAUAACUCCGGGAAACCGGAGCUAAUACCGGAUAGGACGGCGGACCGCAUGGUCCGCCGUGGAAAGGCGGCGCAAGCUGCCACCUCAGGAUGGGCCCGCGGCCCAUUAGCUUGUUGGUGGGGUAACGGCCCACCAAGGCGACGAUGGGUAGCCGGCCUGAGAGGGUGACUGGCCACACUGGGACUGAGACACGGCCCAGACUCCUACGGGAGGCAGCAGUAGGGAAUCUUCCGCAAUGGGCGAAAGCCUGACGGAGCGACGCCGCGUGAGGGAGGAAGGCUUUCGGGUCGUAAACCUCUGUUGUCAGGGACGAACCCGUGCGGUUCGAAGAGGGCCGCACGCUGACGGUACCUGACGAGGAAGCCCCGGCUAACUACGUGCCAGCAGCCGCAGUAA
rnacentral:rRNA from 1 species